UGUGUGUGUGUGUGUGUGUGUGUUUGUUUAUGUGUGUGCAUUAUUUUCUCAUAAACUCUUCCCUUUGUUUAUCUAUCUUGUCAUUAAUUGUUUUGCUUUUGCUGUUUCACAAUAAGAGGUUUACUACUUACAGAAUGUGCAUAACUAAAUUGUGGUUAGGGUUAGGGCUAGGGUGAGGCUACUUCCUUGUUUACUCUCUCUGCUGCAGCUUAUUUAAUAAAAAAUGAAAAGAAAAAUGAA